UGUGGGAGCGGGCUUGCUCGCGAUUCAGGCUACGCGGUUUGUCAGGCAAACCGAGGCGAUACCAUCGCGAGCAAGCCCGCUCCCACA
rnacentral:misc_RNA from 1 species